rnacentral:rRNA from 1 species
CCCUUAGAUGUCCGGGGCCGCACGCGCGCUACACUGAAGGAAGCAGCGUGGCUUUCUCCCUGACCCGAAAGGGUUGGGAAACCCGUUGAAUCUCCUUCGUGAUAGGGAUUGGGGCUUGAAAUUGUUCCCCAUGAACGAGGAAUUCCCAGUAAGCGCGAGUCAUAAGCUCGCGUUGAUUACGUCCCUGCCCUUUGUACACACCGCCCGUCGCUACUACCGAUUGAACGGUUUAGUGAGGGCCUCGGAUUGGUCUCGGCCCGCUCUUUACCGGGCGGCGCCGUUGGUCGAGAAGACGCUCGAACUUGAUCGUUUAGAGGAAGUAAAAGUCGUAACA